rnacentral:ncRNA from 2 species
AAUAUAAUCAGCGUUAUAGGUUCGGUAGUUAGACUGCCGAUUAAAAGGGAAGUGCGGUGUGACUCCGCCACGGUCCCGCCACUGUAACUAGCUAGUUAGGCUUGUGUUGCCACUUGAAUAUGACUGAUAUUCAGGGAAGGUAGAGUCUAACAGUAAGCUAGAAGUCAGGAGACCUGCCUGGAAUGGAAUUAAUAU